rnacentral:rRNA from 1 species
GUGGAGCAUGUGGCUUAAUUUGACUCACGCGGGGANUCUUACUAGGUCCGGACCGAUUCUAUGAUCGUCGUACUGUGGGGUGCUACGUGAUUACUGGAUGAGUGGUGCAUGGCCGUUCUUAGUUCGUGGUGUUAAUUGUCUACUUAAUUGUUAAUAGUUUAAUACAUGUAUUGAACUAUGAACGAACGAGAUCGAGACCCGUGGUUGCGUAUGUUUGAAUUCGGUAUUACUACGGCAAUAACAGGUCUGUGAUGCCCUCAGAUGUUCUAGGCUGCACACGUGCUACAGUGUGGCGCCGUAUCGUGUGUGUAUGCAUAGAUAUCUGAUAAGAUCCCCCGCACCGAGUCAUAACUGGUCACACGGUUGGACUCACCCGAUUGUCAAUUAUUCGGUAUACUAACUAUGAAUGCCUCGUACGGGAU